rnacentral:rRNA from 1 species
CCUACGGGAGGCUGCAGUGGGGAAUAUUGGGCAAUGGAGGAAACUCUGACCCAGCAACGCCGCGUGAAUGAUGAAGGUCUUCGGAUUGUAAAGUUCUUUUCUAAGGGAAGAAGAAAGUGACGGUACCUUAGGAAUAAGCCUCGGCUAACUACGUGCCAGCAGCCGCGGUAAUACGUAGGGGGCAAGCGUUAUCCGGAAUGACUGGGCGGAAAGGGUGCGUAGGUGGUUCAGCAAGUUAGUAGCGUAAUUCCGGAGCUCAACUUCGGCACUACUACUAAAACUGUUGGACUUGAGUGCAGGAGGGGCAACUGGAAUUUCUAGUGUAGCGGUGGAAUGCGUAGAUAUUAGGAAGAACACCGGUGGCGAAGGCGAGUUGCUGGACUGUAACUGACACUGAGGCACGAAAGCGUGGGGAGCAAACAGGAUUAGAUACCCGGGUAGUC